rnacentral:rRNA from 1 species
GACGAACGCUGGCGGCGUGCCUAACACAUGCAAGUGGAGCGACGAACCAGGCUUCGGCCUGGGGCAAAGCCGCGAACGGGUGAGUAACACGUGGGUAACCUGCCCUGAUGAUUGGGACAACCCGAGGAAACUCGGGCUAAUACCGAAUGUGCCCUCCGGCCUCAAGGCCGCUGGGGAAAGGAAGCUUCGGCCUCCGCAUCGGGAUGGGCCCGCGGCCCAUUAGCUUGUUGGUGAGGUAACGGCUCACCAAGGCGACGAUGGGUAGCUGGUCUGAGAGGACGAUCAGCCACACUGGGACUGAGACACGGCCCAGACUCCUACGGGAGGCAGCAGUGGGGAAUCUUGCGCAAUGCGCGAAAGCGUGACGCAGCAACGCCGCGUGGGGAAGAAGGCCU